UGUUUUAUAAUUUUUUAUUCGAUACUGAAAUAAUUAUUUAUCUGUUACUUAUUCUAACUCUGUUUUAGUGCAAUUGAAAAUUGAAAGGACAAUAAUAUUGUUUUUGUGUUCAUUAUAAUGUGUAUGCUUACAUUGUGUUGGUUUAAUUUUAAUAGCAAGUGCAUUGUAUUUUAUUUAGUACCAAAAUAAUCAUUUAUCUGUUAUUUGUUUCUAAUUCUAUUUUGGUGCAAUUGAAAAUUCAAAUGGCAAUAAUAUUGUUUUUGUGUUUGUUAUAAUGUGUAUAUAUACUGUGUGUUAUUUUAAUAUAAUAGCUUGUGGAUUGUAUUGCUGUUGAAAUCUAUAAAUUAUUAAUAGCACUGUUUCACUGCUUGGUUAUGAGUGGUUUAUAUUUAUAUAACUUGUAUUUAAUUGGUUUAAUUAAAUAUGUGCAUAGUGUAUUGUAUCACCGGUCACUAUUGUGUAAUAUAACCUUAUUUGUUUAUACCAGAUUUAAUAUAAUAAUAUUAUAAUAACUUAAUACAAUAUAAUAAUCUGUUAUUCUAAACACGCUUGUCGUUGACACUCAGUUAAUCUGUCUUGAAUAAUUUCUAACUUAUUUUUAUAUCUAUUGGCUGUUUCUAUUUCCUUCUUAUUAGUUUGUCAUUACUUAGUACUUGUGAUUUGUUGUUAUUUCAUAUUUGUAUGGUAUAAUUUUUGGAGCUAAUCUAUAUAUUAUUAGGUAGAACUUGUUUAUUGAAUUAUUAUUGUUUAUAGGUUCUCCGGAUCUAUUUUUUUUUCACACUACGUCGCUUGCUUGAAACAUUUAUACAGUGCAUGUUUUGCAUUGUCUGGUUCUUUGUUAUACUUUCAGCACUUAUUAUGAGUACUUUUAUUUAUCCUACAUCUGUGAGUAUUAAAAUUGCCAUUUAAUUUGUUUAAUUUAAUAUGUUUAUAGUGUAUUGUGUUAGCAACUACUAUUGUAUAUUAUAAUAUUAAUUUCUGUAUAUUAAAUUUAGUAUAAUAAUAUUAUAUGGGUUAAUGUAAUAUAUUAUCUUCUUAUUCCAGUCGUUUAUGUUGUUGAUAUUCGGUUAACCUAUCUUGAUUGAUUUCUAACCUCUUUCUAUACUUAUUGGCCAUUUUUAUUUUUCUCAUUAAUUGGUUGUUACUUCAUAAUACAGUUUGAAGCUAGUCCAUAUCUUAUUAGUUAAAACUUUGUUCACUAUAUUAUUAUUGCUUAUAGGUUCUCCGACUUUAUUCUCCAAGUCUAUAUGCUGCGUUGCUCAUGCAGGACAUGUUACACAGUGCAUGUUUGGCAUCAUCUGAAUCUUCGUUACAUUGUCAACACUUAUUAUGACUACCUUUAUUUACCUUAGAUCUGUAAAUAUAAAAAAAAAAAUACCAUAUUUCUUUCCUGUUGCCUUCUUAAUCGUUCCAGUAGUAUCUGCUUCAAUACUCCUUGACCGUCGUAUACUAUGUUCUGCAAAAAUGGAUCCAUAACCAAUCCCCGCGGAAUUCCUGCAUAUACAUUUCUUUCUACGAUAAUUAAUUGUGUACAAGACUCAUUGAUUUAUAAGGGAGGACUUGCUUAUGUGAGUCUAUGGGGGCUGGCAAACCCACGUUCCCGAAGCCAGGGAGGACCGUCGGGACAAGCGUCCUGUUUACGUGAGACCUCUGUGUACACCGCAGGGAAGGUCGCCAGGAGUGUAAUGCGUUUAAAUACGGUUACGCUCUCUCUACGUGGCCUUGGGUUACUACCCACGCUACUGCGCACCCACGAUCCUGAUGCCAAGGAUGGGACCGUCGGAAUGAGUUCCCGGGUACUUUGUACUUUCAGACCCUCGCUUACGUAAGUCGCCUCUGAAACCGCCGAGCACGGUUAGCAGGUCGCCGGCCGGCAGUGACUUGGCCGUACAUCCACACGAUAGUCCCACCAAUGACUAAGGAUGGUACCAUGGGGGUCGAGUGUAAGCCCGGAGGUAAUAGCGACCCCUCAGAUCGGCCAAUUAUGGGUUUGGACUCGUGGUGGCAGUGGUUGAUAGCCAAGAUGCUGGCGAGAGGGUUGAUUUAACGGGUAUUGGCUCCACCGAAUGGCCUUCGGCGGGUGAGCAACGUCCCACCUGCUCGGGAACCGUCCCGGGAGACGGUAGGGCUUAAAAAGCGACCCGUUCGACCUGAGAUGAGCGACAGCCCCUGCCAGGCUUAACUAAUCCAGGUAGCAAGGUACUGGGUGCCUUGUGCGCUGGUUGGGCGUAACACGAGUCGAGAGCAUCUCAUGCUGUUGUUUUGCCUCAGGACAUUGACUCAGCCUUGACACAGAAAUGUAACGAUAAACGAACUCCGGGCAAAACAAUGUCGCCGCUACAUGCAACCGUUGAAUGAAGACGAAUUCAAAUAUUCCGACUUCCCCCCGACCAGUAUAAAUAAACGGACGCGAUCGCGAGCGGGAGAGUGUAUUACACAGUGUAUCAUAUCACACCGAGUAUCUAAAGUGUCUCCGAGUAUUUAUCGAGCUACGCGACGAGCAUUAACGAGUAUUUAUUCCGCGAUUUUAUUUGGCGAUUUAUAUUUUGUACUAACGACUCCGUAUACGGUUGUACAUUAAUUUAUUAUUUUAAAUAUAUUCGACGGUUUCAAUAA